rnacentral:rRNA from 1 species
UACGGAGGGUGCGAGCGUUGUCCGGAAUCACUGGGCGUAAAGGGCGCGUAGGCGGCCUGGUAAGUAGGGGGUAGAAAUCCUGCGGCUUAACCGCAGGGCUGCCUUCAUAAACUGUCAGGCUCGAGCACGGUAGAGGCAGAUGGAAUUCCCGGUGUAGCGGUGGAAUGCGUAGAUAUGUGGAGGAAUACCGAUGGCGAAGGCCGCCUCCGUGGGCCAACACAUGACGCUCAUGCACGAAAGCGUGGGGAGCAAAC